rnacentral:lncRNA from 1 species
CUCGGUCAAUUACGCCUUCCAGUAAAGGUCCAAACCAGAAUUUGCCAUCCCUUUUAUGGACGAUCAUAAACUAACAUGACCUUAAAUGUUAAAGUACUGUGGUCUAAUCCUUGACCUACAACAUCCUUGGCUAUCUGAGUAAACACAUCCUUCACACCAAGCCAAACUAUUUGAGAAACCAUCGCUCCAUCACUUAACGCCUAAACGACAAUCUACGAUUUGUCUAAAAACGCCGUGUGACAAUUAAGAGAAUAAUUAUCGUAUAGCCCACAGUUGGAAAUCAUAUGAUAAAUUCUUCGUAACAAAACUCAGUCCUAACAACCAAACGGUUAACGGAAAACCAAAACUUGUCGAGAAUCGACCAAGUUUGAUACAUUCCACAAUUCACAUUAAGCCCGUUAUGUUUUACCCACAAUACACGGCAUGUAAGGAAAAAAUCGUAACAAAGCUUCUAGAGCUAUACGAAACAUCCUAAAAAAUGCAC